CAUAGAGGUGGAGGUGGAUUUCAUUGUCCAAAAGAGGGGGUUUUAGGAAGAGAUAUAUCUUUUUGGUUGUGGAAUGGAUAUCAAUGGCCAAAUAGUGUAUUUUCUUUUGGAUUCAAGGUGGUUAUCUGAAGCUAUAAGCUGAAAAGAUUCACUACACAACUGGGCCAAAUACCUCAAAAUAGAUCAGCAUGACCUUAUUAUUCUUUCUUGCUAGCUAUGUGCAAAUGGCACAUAAAAUCUUAAGACCAUCUGUAAUGUUGUCAAGCCUUUGGACGGCCUAAACCAUUAAUCUCAAGCCCAGGUAAAGGAUGCUUGACCUUAGGUGAGCAGCCAAUCUCAGAUUAUUUU